CCGUAAUACGGAGGGUGCAAGCGUUAAUCGGAAUUACUGGGCGUAAAGCGCACGCAGGCGGCUUUUUAAGUCGGAUGUGAAAGCCCCGGGCUCAACCUGGGAAUUGCAUUCGAUACUGGAAAGCUAGAGUAUGUGAGAGGGGGGUAGAAUUCCAAGUGUAGCGGUGAAAUGCGUAGAGAUUUGGAGGAAUACCAGUGGCGAAGGCGGCCCCCUGGCACAAUACUGACGCUCAGGUGCGAAAGCGUGGGGAGCAAACAGGAUUAGAUACCCUGGUAGUCCACGCCGUAAACGAUGUCUACUAGAUGUUCGAGGUCUUGUACUUUGAGUAUCGCAGCUAACGCAUUAAGUAGACCGCCU
rnacentral:rRNA from 1 species